GAUGAACGCUGGCGGCGUGCCUAAUACAUGCAAGUCGAGCGAACAGACGAGGAGCUUGCUCCUUCGACGUUAGCGGCGGACGGGUGAGUAACACGUAGGUAACCUACCUAUAAGACUGGGAUAACUUCGGGAAACCGGAGCUAAUACCGGAUAAUAUUUCGAACCGCAUGGUUCGAUAGUGAAAGAUGGCUUUGCUAUCACUUAUAGAUGGACCUGCGCCGUAUUAGCUAGUUGGUAAGGUAACGGCUUACCAAGGCAACGAUACGUAGCCGACCUGAGAGGGUGAUCGGCCACACUGGAACUGAGACACGGUCCAGACUCCUACGGGAGGCAGCAGUAGGGAAUCUUCCGCAAUGGGCGAAAGCCUGACGGAGCAACGCCGCGUGAGUGAUGAAGGUCUUCGGAUCGUAAACCUCUGUUAUUAGGGAAGAACAAACGUGUAAGUAACUGUGCACGUCUUGACGGUACCUAAUCAGAAAGCCACGGCUAACUACGUG
rnacentral:rRNA from 1 species